rnacentral:rRNA from 1 species
UACGUAGGCAGCGAGCGUUGUUCGGAGUUACUGGGCGUAAAGAGUAUGUAGGCGGUUGCGUAAGUUUGGUGUGGAAUCUCCCGGCUUAACUGGGAGGGUGCGCCGAAAACUGCGGAGCUAGAGUGUGGGAGAGGAAAGCGGAAUUCCUGGUGUAGCGGUGAAAUGCGUAGAUAUCAGGAGGAACACCGGCGGUGUAGACGGCUUUCUGGACCAUUACUGACGCUGAGAUACGAAAGCGUGGGUAGCAAACAGG